GCAUAUCAAUAAGCGGAGGAAAAGAAACCAACAGGGAUUGCCCUAGUAACGGCGAGUGAAGCGGCAACAGCUCAAAUUUGAAAUCUGGCUUCGGCCCGAGUUGUAAUUUGUAGAGGAWGCUUUGGGCGCGGCUCUAUCUGAGUUCCCUGGAACGGGRCGCCACAGAGGGUGAGAGCCCCGUAUAGUURGAUGCCUAGCCURUGUAAAGCUCCUUCGACGAGUCGAGUAGUUUGGGAAUGCUGCUCWAAAUGGGAGGUAAAUUUCUUCUAAAGCUAAAUAYCGGCCAGAGACCGAUAGCGCACAAGUAGAGUGAUCGAAAGAUGAAAAGCACUUUGAAAAGAGGGUUAAAUAGCACGUGAAAUUGUUGAAAGGGAAGCGCUUGUGACCAGACUUGCGCCGGGCRGAUCAUCCGGUGUUCUCACCGGUGCACUCYGCCCGGCUCAGGCCAGCAUCGGUUCUCGUGGGGGGAUAAAGGUCCCGGGAACGUAGCUCCUCCGGGAGUGUUAUAGCCCGGGGCGUAAUGCCCUCGCGGGGACCGAGGUUCGCGCAUCUGCAAGGAUGCUGGCGUAAUGGUCAUCAGCGACCCGUCUUGAAACACGGACCAAGGAGUCAAGGUUUUGCGCGAGUGUUUGGGUGUAAAACCCGCACGCGUAAUGAAAGUGAACGUAGGUGAGAGCUUCGGCGCAUCAUCGACCGAUCCUGAUGUWUUCGGAUGGAUUUGAGUARGAGCGUUAAGCCUUGGACCCGAAAGAUGGUGAACUAUGCUUGGAUAGGGUGAAGCCAGAGGAAACUCUGGUGGAGGCUCGCAGCGGUUCUGACGUGCAAAUCGAUCGUCAAAUCUGAGCAUGGGGGCGAAAGACUAAUCGAACCAUCUAGUAGCUGGUUACCGCCGAG
rnacentral:rRNA from 1 species